rnacentral:rRNA from 1 species
UACGUAGGGUGCGAGCGUUAAUCGGAAUUACUGGGCGUAAAGCGUGCGCAGGCGGUUCGUUAUGUCCGAUGUGAAAGCCCCGAGCUCAACUUGGGAAUGGCAUUGGAAACUGGCGGGCUGGAGUGUGGCAGGGGGGGGUGGAAUUCCACGUGUAGCAGUGAAAUGCGUAGAGAUGUGGAGGAACACCGAUGGCGAAGGCAGCCCCCUGGGCCAACACUGACGCUCAGGCACGAAAGCGUGGGGAGCAAACAGG